UUAUUUUAAUAUAGCUUAUAUUUAAAAUUAGUAUUGUUAUUAUGAACUUAUAAUAAAUAUUUGAGCUAUUAUUAUAACUUAUAUAAGUGUCGUUAUAAUAUUUUUUUUAACUACUCGCGGUACGGGGAAUCUGGUUUAAAGGGCCGCAUAGGGUUGUUGGAUUUCAGAAGUGCUAUAUGCCAAAAUGGUCCUGCCCUCCGGUGUUUUAUGUCUGGCCCCUGUCUGUACAUAGUGGUUGGAAAAUAUUGUUUAACGCUUAUAUAAUAAUAAUAAUACUAAGACUAAUAGUUGGUCACGGUAAAUAUUAGACUAAAAUUUAGCGAUAAUAAUGCUAGGUUUCGUCGAAGGAAAAUAGAAUCGUUAGAAGCAAGCGCUGCCCGAUUUUGGAAUCAUCACCUUAACAAGUGAGUGCAUAGUUACUUUCAACUUACACAUAGAUAUGAAGUAUUUUAUAUAAAUUACGUGCUAUGUGUGCAUAUUAUCUGAAUACUUGCUAUCUAUGUCGGAUGAACAUUUUUAUACAUGUUUUCAAUGAUUUAAAUUGUAUAUGUAUUUUAUAUCUACGAAAAUGUUGGGGUAAAACAUGGGUAGAUGUAAUAGGUGAUGUGUGAUAAAAUGAUGAGAGGCCUCGAUGUUGGUGUUGUUGAUUCUGUCAUCUAGCGGAGUAUGGAUGACGACCACGGACUCUUCAAGACAGUCCAUUGGAACACUAGCAUGCUCGCAACCUGUAGGUGUUUGUGAACGAUGUGUUCACUGGUGUACUCCAUACCCCACAUGGUUGCCUUUAGGACAUUUAUUGCUGAGGAAUCCCCUUAGCAGUAGUGUCCGUCCCGAUAAUGAUCCUUAGGCUAGGUCCCUUUUGAUNGUGUUUAGGGACGUAAAGUGAGGAUAACGGGAACGGGUAAUCGGGUUAUUGUUGAUUGAUGAAAUUAAUAAACUUAUUUAUUGUGGGUUGAAAACCCUAUGUGCUCACCAGGCUCCCAAGCCUGACCCACUCAGUUUUAUGUAUUACAGGUAGUGGCGCUUGAGCAUAGAUAUGAUGUUUGGACGAGGGAUUACAGAUACAUGCAUGUAGAUAUGAAAUAAUGUAGCAAGACUUAUAUUGUACUGUUUAUGCUUUUGAUCUGUACGAACAUGACAUCCCAAGUCUUUUAAUGAAAUACAUUUCUAUGGAAAUGUCACACCCCCCAAACCAGACGACGGAAACAUACGGGGGUGGAGGACUUCAUUUGUAGUAUCACAACACAUGCAUCNNNNNNNNNNNNNNNNNNNNNNNNNNNNNNNNNNNNNNNNNNNNNNNNNNNNNNNNNNNNNNNNNNNNNNNNNNNNNNNNNNNNNNNNNNNNNNNNNNNNCCACAUAUGUUUGCUGAUGCAUGAUUCCGGGACGGAAUCAUCCUAUGGGGAAGAGAAUUGUAACGCCCGGGUUUUAGGGCUAAACAUUUUUGUCAAUGCAAUAGUCUAGGUCAAUUCUUGUAACUCUUUUAGAAGUAAUAAAGAUGAAAUAUUUGAGUAUUAUGUGAAUUAUGUGUGUUUAUGUGCUUAUUAUUUAAUUAUAAAUGUAUAAUUAAUAAAGAAUAAAAAUAAGCGUCAAAAUUAAAGUGUGAGAUAANAGAUAAUCCCGAUAUCUCUACAUAAAGUUGUAGAAUAUGUCUCAAGGUUUCCGUGCAUAUAAGGAACGCCGAAAUCCGAGUUAUAACGAAGAAGUUAUGACCCGUCGAAGUUUUACGGCAAAACCGACACGAUACCGGGAAACGUAAAUAGUGAAUUUAUGAUAGAGCGAGAUUUAGCCUUAGCGGUCUAAACGAAAGUUGUAGAGUACGUCUCCACCUACGCGUGGAUAUAAAGAACGUCAGAAACGGAGUUCGUAUGAACGAGUUACAAAUUAUAAUAGCAUAUUUACGUAUUAAAAUAAAGUAUAAAUCAUGUAUACGUACACAUAUAUAUACAUAUGUAUAUAUCAUUAGAAAGGUAUCGACGAUGCGGUCAUUAUAAGACUAAUGUUGAGUUCUUUCGACAUUAGUUUAGUACAAAUAUCAUUAAAUCCAUUUAAAAUAGUAUUAUAGAGGGGUGUUUAGUUGUUUAUAUAACUAAAAGGUCAUUAAGUAAUUAUGGAGGGUAGUUUUUGAAAAUUCAAUUAGUAUAAAUAAGAGCCUUGGGCUCUUAUAUUUCUUGCACCAUUCUCUUGAUUCAAGAGUAUUUCUCUCCUUAUCCCCCGAGCAUUUCGGUCCCUCGUGAUUCGACUUCUCUUUCUGUAGUUUAGUAUAGUAAGGUGAGCGCUGAAGCGCUGCACGAAUCUUUCUUAGAAAGAUUCAGCGACGAAGUUCUGCCCCUGCAGAGCCCGACUCCUAGCUAAAACCCCCUUGUAAGUAAGUUAUGCUUACCUUAUUUUAAUAUAGCUUAUAUUUAAAAUUAGUAUUGUUAUUAUGAACUUAUAAUAAAUAUUUGAGCUAUUAUUAUAACUUAUAUAAGUGUCGUUAUAAUAUUUUUUUUAACUACUCGCGGUACGGGGAAUCUGGUUUAAAGGGCCGCAUAGGGUUGUUGGAUUUCAGAAGUGCUAUAUGCCAAAAUGGUCCUGCCCUCCGGUGUUUUAUGUCUGGCCCCUGUCUGUACAUAGUGGUUGGAAAAUAUUGUUUAACGCUUAUAUAAUAAUAAUAAUACUAAGACUAAUAGUUGGUCACGGUAAAUAUUAGACUAAAAUUUAGCGAUAAUAAUGCUAGGUUUCGUCGAAGGAAAAUAGAAUCGUUAGAAGCAAGCGCUGCCCGAUUUUGGAAUCAUCACUUUAACAAGUGAGUGCAUAGUUACUUUCAGCUUACACAUAGAUAUGAAGUAUUUUAUAUAAAUUACGUGCUAUGUGUGCAUAUUAUCUGAAUACUUGCUAUCUAUGCUGGAUGAACAUUGUUAUACAUGUUUUCAAUGAUUUAAACUGUAUAUGUAUUUUAUAUCUACGAAAAUGUUGGGGUAAAACAUGGGUAGAUGUAAUAGGUG
rnacentral:lncRNA from 1 species